UUUCGGUCGAUUUUUAAAGUUUGUCGAGAGGGAAGGUUUAUCGAGCCCUAUCCGUCUUCAGUGCGGACAAAAUUUCUGCCCGUUAGGGCAUAAUCUAUUUUUCACUUUUUGUCUUUGCUCGUGGAUGAGGCGCCAAUCCUCUCGCAGAAGCUCUCCCGCAAUGCAGCUGCUCAUUCUCGUAACGCAUGUCUGCAUCAGCUCCUCCUCCGCAUCUCUGUCGAGUUAUGACUUGUGACCUAAAUCUGCUGAUGGCGGGUCAAAUUUGUCAUGCGAAAGUGAAGGCUCAAUGAGGCAGCACAUUGUUGUAGACAGGCUUUAGCAGUCGUUAUCCGGUGGAGUUAUUCUUCAUCGCCACCAACUACCCACCCAUGCCUUUGCUUCGACAGUUGGGUCCUUUAUGGUUUCGGACCAGGUUAGUAUUCAGUUUCUUCUUGUGUCAUGUUAGUUGAGUGUUAUGGAUAUUUAUCAUAUUUUGACUAAUAUGUUUUGUGUUUAUCCAUAAAUCAGGGCAGUAUUCAGCAUUGGGGAAAAAUUAUGAUAUUAUGGCAAGCAUUUUAUGCAUUGCAUGGAUUCGUGAACUUGAUCGUGAACUUGAUCAUAACAUUCUGGGUUUUCCUGAACUUGACCGCAGGCCUGUUGCGGUUGGCGAACCAAGUGCCUCUGUUGCUAUUCACCGGCGAAAUAAGAGCCUCUGAUGCCAUUCACCAUUCAAUGACAACUUUUCUAGAAAAGCCAAAGUACUUGAUACAACCAGAGUUGGUCGAAGGCAUCCUUUGGAAUGUGUUGUUGAUUUAAAUAAUGCCUUUUCUUUUUAUGUUUGUUGUGGUUUAGUGCAUAAUGUUUGUUGUGGUUUAAAGCAUAUGGAAGAUAUGACUCAGGGUCUCUGUCAUGAACAUGUGUUUGUGUGUGUCUCUCUCUCAUACCCAAGUAGAAAGACACAUGUGCACAUGCACAAGUAAUGUAUUUGUUGAUGUGCAGCUAGUGCUUGAAUUCUUAUGGCAUUUCUAAAAUAUCACAAUGCAGGUGGGAUAUGGCUGAGUGGUGUAUUAGUGCAGCUUUGAAGGCUAGAACUGUGGCUUAUGGGCCCACUGUUCAAAUCUAAAUCUUAGUUAUGAGAUCUAAUUGCAGGACUUGCCUUUGGUUGCUCAAUUUUAUUGCUGGGAAAUUUGCAUUGUACUCACUGAUAUGCAACUGAUAUGCUAGCAUGUAAAGCUCUGUCUUCUUCCAAACCAAUUUUCAUCUGAUGCUCGUAUCAAGUUCAUGCUGAGUGGUGUAUUAAUGCAGCCUAGAAGGCUAGAACUGUGGCUUAUGGGCCCACUGUUCAAAUGUGGGACAUUUGCAUUGUACUCACUGAUAUGCAAGCAUGUAAAGCUCUGUCUUCUUCCAAACCAAUUUUCAUGUGAUGCUCGUAUCAAGUUCAUGCUGAGUGGUGUAUUAAUGCAGCGUAGAAGGCUAGAACUGUGGCUUAUGGGCCCACUGUUCAAAUGUGGGACAUUUGCAUUGUACUCACUGAUAUGCAAGCAUGUAAAGCUUUGUCUUCAUCUGAUGCUCGUAUCAAGUUCAACUGAAGGUGCCACCUCCAUGGGAUGUCAAUAACGAUUAAAGAAAGGAGUUGAUUGCCACAACUUUUCUUUUCCAAGGAGGACUCCUCAUCUCCUGAACACUCAUCUCCUGAAGGCUGCUUUUGAAAAUUGCCAUAAGCACAACUUUCCAUUUUGCUCCUAUUUUCUUUGUGAGCAUCUGUGAUUGAUCUAGUUGUCAUCUGCAACAGAAGAUGCCAGAUAUUAGGGGCUGUUUGGCCUUCAUCUUGAUCAAAAGAAAAACAGAUUAUGAAUCGUAGGUGUGGAUGGCAAACUUGGAUCAAAUUGCUGGCAAACUACGGUGGAUGUAGACUUGCCAUUUAUCACUUUUUUGUUAUUUUCUCAAGUCUUUUAAGAUUUUCUUAUUUAUAUAUUAUUUAUUCUUUGACAAAAGUAGAUAAUAUUUGUUUCUAAGCCCAAUUGAUUGAAUCUUUGAAUAAGCCCAACUGAUUGAGUCUUUGAAUCAGCCAAUUCACCAAAUGGGCACCUUGAUUCACAGUGAGAUUUUUAUAACACUGAUUAAGACUUGAUAGGAAAAGUGCUCAUUGGCAUACUGGAUUCUUACCAAAACUGGUUUGGAGAGCACCAGUAGCAAGUCAUUGAUGUGCUACAUUGAUGGACUUUGUGUGUGGUAUUCAGCAUCUAAUCCCGUUAGACUGACUAUGUUCUCCUGUUUUCUUUUUUUCUUCGCAUGACUAGGAUUAAAAGUCUUUUUUAUAGCCAUGUAUUUCUUUAAUCUACUUUCAUAGCAAUGUCUUGUACUAGUGAGUGUAAUAAUGGUAAAUUUGUCCGUUGUUGCAAGGUUGUAGAUCCUAGGUGAUGAUGGGAAUCCCCUUGUAAGUGUUUAGUAUUUCUUUGCAAUUAUGUAAUUUACAUGGGCAGUUGCUUUUCUACUAACUAGAUGUGAACAGUUCAGCCCAAUCAAACGAGGAAAUCAGGUAAAUUUCUGGUGAUCUGUGAACGAGCUCCCUCCCUACUCACCUGUUCGUAAAUAUUUUGGACAGAUUCAGUCCAAAUUUCAUGUGAAACGGAGUUCAUUUGGCGAGGUAAAGGUCAAAUUACAUAAUCAGCAGCCUGUUUCUAAAAACCAACGCCGGAUUCCUGUGGCCGGCGCUGUCACCUCUGACAUCAGAAUUCGUCGAGUUUAGGCUUGUUGAAAGCGCCUAUAUCUCAGGUGGGACAUUUGCAUUGUACUCACGGAUAUGCAAGCAUGUAAAGCUCUGUCUUCUUCCAAACCAAUUGUCAUAUGAUGCUUGUAUCAAGUUCAACUGAAGGUGCCACCUCCACAGCUUGGGUUCUCAAUAACGAUUAAAGAAAGGAAGCAUCUGUCGCUUUGGCCCUGUUGAAUUUGAUUGGUAUAGUCGUCAUGACCAGUGACCACUUUAACGAUGCUGCAAGGAAGAUGCCAGAUAUUAUGAGCUGUUUGGCCUUCAUCUUGAUCAAAAGCGAAACAAAUUAUGAAUCAGAGGAAAAGUGCUCAUUGGCAUACUUGCUUCUUACCAAGAGCACAAGGAGCAAGUCAUUGACGCUGUUACACUGACGACAACAUCUAUGCGUUCCACUUAUCUCAGUUCUUAAUAAGCUGUGGAUUGGACGACAAGGUUGUAGAUUCAAUCUAAAAUGAUAAGGUGCUAGAAGUUGUAGACCCUACAACUAUGUAAUUUAUAUGUGCAGUUGCUUUUCUACUAACUAGAUGUGUUCAUGUAUAGAUCUUGUUCAUGCUUGCUAGUGUUAUUUAAAAUUCAUGGACUACACAGUUGAUGACAUGCCCAUGGGUAAGCAUUUGUUUUUUA